rnacentral:ncRNA from 1 species
UACCUGGUUGAUUCUGCCAGUAGUCAUAUGCUUGUCUCAAAGAUUAAGCCAUGCAUGUCUAAGUAUAAGCAAUUUAUACCGUGAAACUGCGAAUGGCUCAUUAAAUCAGUUAUCGUUUAUUUGAUAGUACCUUACUACUUGGAUAACCGUGGUAAUUCUAGAGCUAAUACAUGCUAAAAGCCCCGACUUCGGAAGGGGUGUAUUUAUUAGAUAAAAAACCAAUGCCCUCCGGGGCUCCUUGGUGAUUCAUAAUAACUUAACGAAUCGCAUGGCCUUGUGCCGGCGAUGGUUCAUUCAAAUUUCUGCCCUAUCAACUUUCGAUGGUAGUAUAUGGGACUACCAUGGUUUCAACGGGUAACGGGGAAUUAGGUUCUAUUCCGGAGAGGGAGCCUGAAAAACGGCUACCACAUCCAA